GACGAACGCUGGCGGCGUGCUUAACACAUGCAAGUCGAACGGUAAGGCCCUUCGGGGUACACGAGUGGCGAACGGGUGAGUAACACGUGGGUGAUCUGCCCUGCACUUCGGGAUAAGCCUGGGAAACUGGGUCUAAUACCGGAUAGGACUCCGGACUGCAUGGUCUGGGGUGGAAAGCUUUUGCGGUGUGGGAUGGGCCCGCGGCCUAUCAGCUUGUUGGUGGGGUGAUGGCCUACCAAGGCGACGACGGGUAGCCGGCCUGAGAGGGUGACCAGGUAGUCAGGGACUCGGAUACGGCCCAGACGCCCACUGGAGGCAGCAGUGGGGAAUAUUGGACAAUGGGCGCAAGCCUGAGGCAGCGGCGCAGAGGGAGGGAUGGCGGCAUUCGGGUUGUAAACCACUCUCGGCAUCGCCGAAGGGAAAGUGGCGGUAGGUGCAGAAGAAGGACCGGCCAACUACGUGCCAGCAGCCGCCGCAG
rnacentral:rRNA from 1 species